GGGAAGAUCUCCUGAAGGAGGGCAUGGCAACCCCACUCCAGCAUCCUUGCCUGGAGAAUCCCAUGGACAGAGGAACCUGGUGGGCUGCAGUCCAUUUGGUCGCAAAGAGUGGGACAGGACCGAAGUGACUUAGCAGCAACAGCAGCAGCAGCGGGAGGUUGUUUAACAGAAGUGAUGCCAUUUGCUCUGUGUGCUCAGAAACUGGGGAAAUUACCCUGGAUGAUUGCUGCCCCAUGGAGUUUGUUGAUUCUGUUAACUUUCCUCCUGUUUGAAGCCCCAGACCACUACUCCUAAGACCCUCUUUUGUUUUUAAAUGAAGAUGAUAUUUAAUGUGAGAAUUUCAGCCAUUUUGAAUUGGCUUCAGUUCAGUUCAGUUGCUCAGUUGUGUCCGACUCUGUGACCCCAUGGACUGUAGCACGCCAGGCCUCCCUGUCCAUCACCAACUCCUGGAGUUUACUCAAACUCAUGUCCGUUGAGUCGGUGAUGCCAUCCAACCAUCUCAUCCUCUGUCGUCCCCUUCUCCUCCUGCCUUCAAUCUUUCCCAGCUUCAGGGUCUUUUCAUGUAACCUGAUUUAUAAGCUAAAAGAAUGAUUAUGUAAUGCACUGGAAUAUUUGAUAAAAAGUCAUCUACAAUAAACCAAAAGAAAUGGAAAGGAAUGAAGAGAACAGGGAAGUCCAAGAGCUUUUGAAGUUGGGAGUGGCAGAUGCUUUUCACCUCAGUUGUUGCUCAGUCAUGUCCAGAUCUUUGGGACUCCAUGGAGUAUAGCCCGCCAGGCUCUUCUGUCCAUGGAAUUUUCCAGGCAAGAAUAUUGGAGUAGGUUGCCAUGCCCUCCUCCAGGAAAUCUUCCUGACCCAGGGAUCAAACCAUUGUCUCCUGUGAGUCCUGCAUUACAGGUAGAUUCUUCACUGCUGAGCCACCCGGGAAGCAACACAGCCUACCUAACAUAAAACUUGUGAAAGUAUAUUUCAAUAGGUCAAACCCACAUAGCAAAGUUUCUUGAAUUAUUAUUAGAAGUAUAGGUUCCAGCUCUAGUUAAAUCGUAUAAACAUACUCUAUUCUAUUUCUCCCAAUGACUAUAACACAAAUCCUGAACAGAAUACAUAAAGAAGCUAAAGACGCUGAAAAGUAAGUAAUAGCAGACAAAUUAGGGAGGAAAUCAAAACUCAAGACCAACAAAUUGUGAAUUCUCAGCUUUUACCCUCUAUUAUUUCCUGGUUUA
ensembl:lncRNA